UAAUGGACAAUGGGGGGAACCCUGAUCCAGCGACGCCGCGUGAGUGAAGAAGUAUUUUGGUAUGUAAAGCCCUAUCAUCAGGGAAGAANNAAAUGACGGUACCUGACUAAGAAGCCCCGGCUAACUACGAGCCAGCAGCCGCGGUAAUACGUAGGGGGCAAGCGUUAUCCGGAGUUACUGGGUGUAAAGGGAGCGUAGACGGCGAUGCAAGUCUGAAGUGAAAGGCGGGGGCCCAACCCCCGGACUGCUUUGGAAACUGUAUGGCUGGAGUGCAGGAGAGGUAAGUGGAAUUCCUAGUGUAGCGGUGAAAUGCGUAGAUAUUAGGAGGAACACCAGUGGCGAAGGCGGCUUACUGGACUGUAACUGACGUUGAGGCUCGAAAGCGUGGGGAGCAAACAGG
rnacentral:rRNA from 1 species